rnacentral:rRNA from 1 species
AGUGAACGCUGGCGGUAGGCCUAACACAUGCAAGUCGAACGGCAGCACAGUAAGAGCUUGCUCUUACGGGUGGCGAGUGGCGGACGGGUGAGGAAUACAUCGGAAUCUACUUUUUCGUGGGGGAUAACGUAGGGAAACUUACGCUAAUACCGCAUACGACCUACGGGUGAAAGCAGGGGAUCUUCGGACCUUGCGCGAUUGAAUGAGCCGAUGUCGGAUUAGCUAGUUGGCGGGGUAAAGGCCCACCAAGGCGAGGAUCCGUACCUGGUCUGAGAGGAGGAUCAGCCACACUGGAACUGAGACACGGUCCAGACUCCUACGGGAGGCAGCAGUGGGGAAUAUUGGACAAUGGGCGCAAGCCUGAUCCAGCCAUACCGCGUGGGUGAAGAAGGCCUUCGGGUUGUAAAGCCCUUUUGUUGGGAAAGAAAAGCAGCAGGUUAAUACCCCGCUGUUCUGACGGUACCCAAAGAAUAAGCACCGGCUAACUUCGUG